rnacentral:rRNA from 1 species
GACGAACGCUGGCGGCGUGCUUAACACAUGCAAGUCGAACGAAGUGGCGAACGGGUGAGUAAUACGUGAGUAACCUGCCCUCCUUUUUGGGAUAAGCCUUGGAAACGGGGUCUAAUACCGAAUAAAGGGGGAUGGGCUCGCGGCCUAUCAGCUUGGUGGUGGGGUGAUGGCCUCCCAAGGCGGUGACGGGUAGGCGGCCAAGGAGGGUGACAGGACACAUUGGGACUGGGACACGGCCCAGACUGCUACGGGAGGGAGGAGUGGGGGAUAUUGCACAAUGGGCUAACGCCUGAUGCAGCGACGCUGCGUGGGGGAUUAAGGCUUUUGGGUUGUAAACCUCUUUCGCGAACGAACGGGUAGGUGGAGAAGAAGCGCCGGCUAACUACGUGCCAGCAGCCGCGGUAAUUC